rnacentral:rRNA from 1 species
GGGAAAGGAGGUGGAUAUUCACAGACAACCAGGAGGUUGGCUUAGAAGCAGCCAUGCCUUGAAAGAGUGCGUAAUAGCUCACUGGUCGAGAGUAUCUGCGCCGAAGAUGUAACGGGGCUGAAGACAUAAACCGAAGCUGUGGAAGCGGCCAUGCCGCUUGGUAGGAGAGCGUUCUGUAGGUCUGCGAAGGCUGGCCGGAAGGCCUGCUGGAGACAUCAGAAGCGAGAAUGCAGGAAUGAGUAGCGAGAAGGAGGGCGAGAAUCCCUCCGGCCGGAAGUCCAAGGUUUCCGGGGGAAGGUUUGUCCGCCCCGGGGAAGUCGGGACCUAAGCGUAAGCAGAGAUGUGAUUGCGAAUGGGAAACAGGUUAAUAUUCCUGUACCGCUGCCAGUCGCCUGAGUGACGGAGUGACGCAGCAAGGUAUGUGAGAAGGCUGACGGAAUAGCCUUUCUAAAGGCGUAGCCUGGGCACGCAGGCAAAUCCGCGUGCCUAAAGGUGAGACCCUAUGGGCAAGUGCUCCUGCACAAGUCACAGAUCCUACACUGCCAAGAAAAACUUCUAGCGAGACUGGACAGCGCCCGUACCCUAAACCGACACAGGUGGACAGAGUGAGAAACUUAAGGCCGACAGGAUAACUCUAGCUAAGGAACUCUGCAAAAUAGCCCCGUAACUUCGGGAGAAGGGGUGCCUGACAUACCUGAAGAGAGAGACGCUCCUAGGGGAAACAGGCCGCAGUGAAGAGUCUCAAGCAACUGUUUACCAAAAACACAGGUCUAUGCUAAGCUGGAAGGCGACGUAUAUGGGCUGACACCUGCCCAGUGCCGGAAGGUUAAGAGGAGGAGUGAGAGCUCCGAUUUGAAGCCCCGGUGAACGGCGGCCGUAACUAUAACGGUCCUAAGGUAGCGAAAUUCCUUGUCGGGUAAGUUCCGACCUGCACGAAUGGUGAAAUGAUUUGGGAGCUGUCUUGGCUGGAGACCUGGUGAAGUUGUAAUGCCGGUGAAGAUACCGGCUACCUGCAGUAGGACGGAAAGACCCCGUGGAGCUUCACUGCAGCCUGGCAUUGGGUUCUGGCAACGUGUGUAUAGGAUAGUUGGGAGACUGCGAAGUUGAGGCGCCAGCCUCUUCCGAGUCGCUGUUGGAAUACCAACCAUAUGCUGCCGGAAUUCUAAUCCGCUCGCGGAGACAGUGCUAGGCGGGCAGUUUGACUGGGGCGGUCGCCUCCAAAAGAGUAACGGAGGCGUUCAAAGGUUCCCUCGGGCUGGAUGGAAAUCAGCCUUCGAGUGCAAACGCAUAAGGGAGCUUGACUGCAAGACCGACGGGUCGAGCAGGUACGAAAGUAGGAGUUAGUGAUCCGGCGGUCCCUCAUGGAAGGGCCGUCGCUCAACGGAUAAAAGCUACCCCGGGGAUAACAGGCUGAUACUUCCCAAGAGUCCAUAUCGACGGAAGUGUUUGGCACCUCGAUGUCGGCUCGUCUCAUCCUGGGGCUGGAGAAGGUCCCAAGGGUUGGGCUGUUCGCCCAUUAAAGAGGCACGCGAGCUGGGUUCAGAACGUCGUGAGACAGUUCGGUCCCUAUCCACUGCAGGCGCUUGAGCACUGAAAAGAUCUGACCUUAGUACGAGAGGACCGGGUUGGACAGACCUCUGAUGUAUCAGCUGUCACGCCAGUGGCACGGCUGAGUAGUCACGUCUGGCCAGGAUAAUCGCUGAAAGCAUCUAAGCGAGAAGCCGGCUUUGAGAUGAGUGCUCGCAGUAUCCACAGAGAACAUGUGGUCGAUAGGCUGGGGAUGUAAGCGCAGCAAUGCGUUCAGUUGACCAGUACUAAUAUUACUUGGGCUUUUUUAA